rnacentral:lncRNA from 1 species
UAUAUUUUCUUUAGAUUAUGGAUACCAGUAUAUAAGUGCCUUUUUGGGAAAUAAUUUGUUGUUUCAAAAGGUCAAUCGGAAGGAGCAAAUAAUAAGCUAUUAUUUUUUUCAAAAUAAGUAGUAAAAAAUGAACUGAAUUUUCAAUUGCUUUGCUCAUGCUCGCGAGGAAGUAGGACAAGUUCGCUAAUAGAUAUAUCUUGUCAAUCUACAGAUUCACAUCGACUCCAGACAAAGUAAACAACAAAUACUACCUGGGACCUGCCCCACUGGAAGACAUGGCUAGGUAUAUACAUAGUAUACAUUUUUCUCCUCAUUUUUAUUUGAGGAAGUGAUAACCUAUCCUUUGGUUUCACUAAUUUUUUUGGCAAUCCAUUCAGGCAAAUAGCAACUGCGUAUGGUCCUUGCGGAAACAACAGGGACUAUCUUUUCCUUCUAGAAAAGGCCAUGUAUGAGAUUGGUAAGUUAUUUCCUAAUACAUACACAUGCAGUUAGCAAACACUAUUUUCUAUCUACGUUGUCACUAGCUUCAAAUUUAAAUAUACCAGCACUCUUAUUUGUACUGGUUCCGAUGUACAGGCCAUGAGGAUGACUUAGUGAUAGAGCUUGCCAAUGAAGUGAGGAAAGCACUUGGAGUGGGAAAGGUACUACCAAAUGUUGGAGCAGCUCAACUUCCACACCCUCCUCAUGUCUCCAUACC